AUGAUCAUCAUUAUUAGAGCCCAAAAAAAGAGCAAGGCGAAAAAAGGCCCAAAAAUAAAAAUAAAAGGGACAAUGUUACUAUCUUUUUCCACACUUGUGCUUCAAAGUAGCACCAUGAUCUUCAUGAUAGAGAGUCUCUUGUUUUGUCACUUUCAUAUACUAGUGGGAAUUUUUCAUUAUAAGAACUUGGCUUGUAUAUUCCAACGACGGGCUUCCUCAAAUACCCUAGGUCUUCGUGAGCAAGCAAGUUGGAUGCACACCCACUUAGUUUCUUUUGUUGAGCUUUCAUACAUUUAUAGCUCUAUGAUACGUCUCCAACGUAUCUAUAAUUUUUGA
rnacentral:rRNA from 1 species